GCCCUUAUCUUCUAACGGCUGAGGAUACCGUCCUCUCAAGGCGGAGAUGCGGGUUCAACUCCCGCUGAGGGUGCCA
rnacentral:tRNA from 1 species